GCCACCAUAGCUCAGUUGGUAGAGCGCAGCCAUGGUAAGGCUGAGGUCUCGGGUUCAAAUCCCGAUGGUGGCUCCA
rnacentral:tRNA from 1 species